rnacentral:rRNA from 1 species
UCUGGGAUUAGAUACCCUGUUAUUUUAAAUGUAAUUGUAUAUACUUGAGUAGUAAUAGUUAUGUUCUUUAAACUUAAAAAAUUUGGCGGUAUUUUAGUCUAUUCAGAGGAACCUGUUUUAUAAUCGAUAAUCCACGAUGCACCUCACUUAUUUUUGUUUAUUAGUUUGUAUACCGUCGUUAUAGAAUAUUUUAUAAGAAAAAUAAUUUUCAAUAAGUUUUAUUAAAAUAAAUAUCAGAUCAAGGUGCAGCUUAUAUUUAAGUAAUAAUGGGUUACAAUAAAUAUAUUAUUUAUGUGAAUAUAAUUAUGAAAAAUUUAUUGAAAUUGGAUUUGAUAGUAAAAUUAAAUAGAUUAUUAAUUUGAUUUUAGCUCUAAAAUAUGUACAAAUCGCCCGUCACUCUC